rnacentral:lncRNA from 1 species
GCCUGGCAAAGUCACAGGAAGUAUCUCCAUGGCACCGCAUCAGCCCUCACAGAGCAGGAAACCUUGAUUUCUACAGAGGCUGUUUCCUCCCAGCCUUGUGCAAGGCCCACUGCAGAGACAAAAUUAUGGUGGCCAAAGUGUGAAUGCCAAGGCCACACUGGCCUCCAUCCCUGGGAUUUGCUGGUAGAAGAAAGGGAAUCAGCGCUGACUGAGCUCCUACUAUGUGCCCUUCCUGGGCCUGGCACUGGAAUCACAGGAUGAAUGAAUAAGGCAUAUUUCCUGCCCUGAGGAGGCGUCUAUAGGGGAAGUCGGAAUUAAGGCACCUCCAGAAUUCUGAGGUCAAGGGAAUGUCAACAGAGCUGUGAACAAAAUGCCCAAAGCCAUGAAAAUCUACAGAGAGAGACUCGAAGGGGAGGAAUGGGGUAGGAGCUGGUGCCGAGGAUGAGAGGGGAGAAUUCACCUGGUGGAGAACUGAUAGGCCAGGCUGAGGUCGGGAUGGUGGAGGAGGUGGUGGAGGUGAUGAGGUACCAGAGCAACCUCGAAGAAAGCUGAGAGGCAGGAGACCGCCAAAGGCAAACUUGGAACACCUGGUGACUCCGACUAACUCUCCAUGUGGUGUCCUUGAGGACUUUUAUGAUACUGCUACCACUGCUAAUAGUAAUAAAAGCCACUAUUUAAUGUGUUUACUAUGCGCUGGGUGUGCAAAUAUUGUGGAAAGAGUGAACAUAUGUGCAGAAUGCUUAAUAAACGUGAUCUCCUUUUAUCUUCAAAA